rnacentral:rRNA from 1 species
UACGAAGGUCCCAAGCGUUAUCCGGAUUUAUUGGGUUUACAGGGUGCGUAGGCGGGCUAUUAAGUCAGUGGUGAAAGCCCCAAGCUUAACUUGGGAACUGCCAUUGAUACUGAUGGUCUUGAGUACAUUUGAGGUGGGCGGAAUGUGUCAUGUAGCGGUGAAAUGCUUAGAUAUGACACAGAACACCGAUUGCGAAGGCAGCUCACUAAACUGUAACUGACGCUGAGGCACGAAAGCGUGGGGAGCAAACAGG